CAUCUCCUCUCCGUCACGUGAUCGCCCCGCCUUUAACUCGAACAACAAACACGCCCCUCUUUGAAUCUAACGAGAGAGAGAGAGUCCCACUUCGAUCUGGGGCGUUCAUUACAAUCUACAGAAAUGGAGUCUGGUGCUGGAGAUGCCUGCACAUCAUUGUCCAGAAAUGAAAUCUACGGCAUCGUCGUUAACAGCGUCGAUCGAGACCAGUACCUGUGCUGUACAAGCGGCAGAGGAGGCGCGUUCAAUGUAUGCAUUACAAACGCUUCAGACGUGUGGAGCACAGAGUUUACCAGCGAAAAGCUGUCUGAACAUAGACGUCAGCAUGGGGUCACCAGCACAGAGGAAUACAAAACCAAACUCCGGAAAGCCCUGCAGGGUGUGAGCGCCUCCCUGUUGGUGGAGGGCAGUAUAGCCACACUGCGGCUGGGGAGGGAUGACGACCCCAGAGGCCUGACCUUCCACCUCAUAAAGCUGCCUGAUGCCAAGGCGAGGCUGGAGCUCCAGGCGGUGCUGUUCGGGAUGGCGGGCCGGGUCGGUGUGCUGGAGCAGCGCCUGGAGAGAGUCACUAGAUCUUACCCCACCUCUAGAGGGAGCCGCCACCGCCAGCCCUGUGAAGAGCCAGCAGCGAUCAACAGCAGCAGAUUUUGAGCCCAGGAUGCACGCGACCGGAGGAGGCAGGACAUCCGCCGCAGUCAAGAAGCGGCUCCCAGGGGCCUCUCUCAUUAACCCGGGGAGUAAAAGAAAAGUGAAAGCGACUGGGGUUGCUUUUGAAGACAGUGAGGAGAUGAAACAGUGAACCUGGAAAGCGCUCUGCAGCGUUCAUCACGCUGCGGAGAACAGGUUCAGCACCC